CACCGAGGGGGGUGCGGAGGCCGCCGGGGUCGGGGCCGGGGUCAGGGCCGAGACUGUGGCCGGUUCCGGUUCCGGUUCCGGUUCCGGUGCC
rnacentral:tRNA from 1 species